UCAUCUUCAGAACAGCUUUAUCCUCAAGAGGCUUGCGGGGGUGCUGGAGCCUAUCCCAGCUACCUAUGGGCAAAUUUCAAAAAU